rnacentral:rRNA from 1 species
UAGGGAGGAUGCGAGCGUUAUCCGGAUUUAUUGGGUUUAAAGGGUGCGCAGGCGGCGUGUCAAGUCAGCGGUAAAAUGUCGGGGCUCAACCCCGGCCGGCCGUUGAAACUGGCGUGCUCGAGUUGGAGAGAAGUAUGCGGAAUUCGUGGUGUAGCGGUGAAAUGCAUAGAUAUCACGAAGAACCCCGAUUGCGAAGGCAGCAUACCGGCUCCACACUGACGCUGAGGCACGAAAGCGUGGGUAUCGAACAGG